UACGGGGGGGGAAAGCGUUGUUCGGAAUUACUGGGCGUAAAGGGCUCGUAGGCGGCCAACUAAGUCAUACGUGAAAUCCCUCAGCUUAACUGGGGAACUGCGUGUGAUACUGGAUGGCUUGGAUUUGGGAGAGGGAUGUAGAAUUCCAGGUGUAGCGGUGAAAUGCGUAGAUAUCUGGAGGAACACCGGUGGCGAAGGCGACAUCCUGGACCGGUAUUGACGCUGAGGCGCGAAAGCCAGGGGAGCAAACGGG
rnacentral:rRNA from 1 species